GAUGAACGCUGGCGGCGUGCCUAAUACAUGCAAGUCGAGCGAACAGACGAGGAGCUUGCUCCUCUGCCGUUAGCGGCGGACGGGUGAGUAACACGUGGAUAACCUACCUAUAAGACUGGGAUAACUUCGGGAAACCGGAGCUAAUACCGGAUAAUAUAUUGAACCGCAUGGUUCAAUAGUGAAAGACGGUUUUGCUGUCACUUAUAGAUGGAUCCGCGCCGCAUUAGCUAGUUGGUAAGGUAACGGCUUACCAAGGCGACGAUGCGUAGCCGACCUGAGAGGGUGAUCGGCCACACUGGAACUGAGACACGGUCCAGACUCCUACGGGAGGCAGCAGUAGGGAAUCUUCCGCAAUGGGCGAAAGCCUGACGGAGCAACGCCGCGUGAGUGAUGAAGGUCUUCGGAUCGUAAAACUCUGUUAUUAGGGAAGAACAAAUGUGUAAGUAACUAUGCACGUCUUGACGGUACCUAAACAGAAAGCCACGGCUAACUACGUG
rnacentral:rRNA from 1 species